CUGCCUUGCCUCGCCUCGCCUCGCCUCCCCGUCCCUCCCUCCCUCCAUCCAUCCAUCCCUCCCUCCCUCCCUCCAUCCCUCCUCCCCCCCUCCCGCCCCCCUCCCGCCGCAGCCGGCUGCGAGCCCGGCCGCUUCGCGAGCGGAGUUGAAGGGGGGCAAACUUCGCAGCCCAGAUGCCUCUGGGGCUGCGCGGCAGAGCGCGGGACGGCGGCGCGGGGUGCCGGGAGCCAUGGGCUAUUGCAGCGGCCGCUGCACGCUGGUGGCGGUGUGCGGCGCGCAGCUGGGCGGCUGCGGUGGACGCGCGGCGGAGUUGGUAAACUCGGUCAGUUUCGCCGAGCCUCGGCUCAACUUGGUACCCGGCUUCCCGUGGCGAGCUGGUGUUCGGCUGGCGUUAUGUAAAGCAGGGACGCGGCCCUGGCAGGGGCGAUGCGGAGCUGGUGAACAGUUUGCCGUACAGCAUCUUCAGGGACUGGAGUGCUGCUUUGUGUAUUACCAUCACCCUGGAGGACAGCUGCACCUCAACGCCAACAUCUCCUGGAACAUCGUGAGACCUACAGCAGACUGA
rnacentral:lncRNA from 1 species